ACGAGACGAUUGUAAGACUUGCUUUUGAAAGUCGAGUAGGGCAAACGGGUGAGUAACGCGUAGACAACCUGCCUUUGAGAUGGGGACAACAGUCCGAAGGACUGCUAAUACCGAAUGUUGUGGAACUUCCGCAUGGGAGCUCACCAAAGAUGACCUCUUCCUGAAAGUUAUCGCUCAAAGAUGGGUCUGCGUCUGAUUAGCUAGUUGGUGGGGCAACGGCCUACCAAGGCGACGAUCAGUAGCCGGUCUGAGAGGAUGAACGGCCACAUUGGAACUGAGACACGGUCCAGACUCCUACGGGAGGCAGCAGUGGGGAAUCUUCCGCAAUGGGCGAAAGCCUGACGGAGCAACGCCGCGUGAGUGAAGAAGGCCUUCGGGUCGUAAAGCUCUGUUGUCGGGGACGAAUGUGCGGAUUAUCAACAACGGUUUUGAAUGACGGUACCUUUCGAGGAAGCCACGGCUAACUACGUGCC
rnacentral:rRNA from 1 species